rnacentral:rRNA from 1 species
UACGUAGGGUGCGAGCGUUGUCCGGAUUUAUUGGGCGUAAAGAGCUUGUAGGCGGUUUGUCGCGUCGGGAGUGAAAACUUGGGGCUUAACCCUGAGCUUGCUUUCGAUACGGGCUGACUUGAGGGAGGUAGGGGAGAAUGGAAUUCCUGGUGGAGCGGUGGAAUGCGCAGAUAUCAGGAGGAACACCGGUGGCGAAGGCGGUUCUCUGGACCUUUCCUGACGCUGAGAAGCGAAAGCGUGGGGAGCGAACAGG